rnacentral:rRNA from 1 species
AUUGAACGCUAGCGGGAUGCUUUACACAUGCAAGUCGAACGAGUGGCGGACGGGUGAGUAAUAUAUCGGAAGUGCCCAGGAGCGGGGGAUAACUACUGGAAACGGUAGCUAAUACCGCAUACUAUCGGAUACACAAUAUGGGAUUAGCUAGUAGGUGAGGUAAUGGAUCACCUAGGCGACGAUCCCUAGCUUGUUGUAGAGGAUGAUCAGCCACACUGGGACUGCGACACGGCCCAGACUCCUACGGAGGCAGCAGUGGGGAAUAUUGCACAAUGGGCGCAAGCCUGAUGCAGCCAUGCCGCGUGUAUGAAGAAGGCCCUAGGGUUGUAAAGUACUUUCAGUCGGGAGGCGUUACCGACAGAAGAAGCACCGGCUAACUCCGUGCCAGCAGCCGCGGUAAUUC